rnacentral:rRNA from 1 species
GGCGUGCCUAAUACAUGCAAGUAGAACGAUGAAGGAGGAGCUUGCUUCUCUGGAUGAGUUGCGAACGGGAGAGUAACGCGUAGGUAACCUGCCUGGUAGCGGGGGAUAAUUAUUGGAAACGAUAGCUAAUACCGCAUAAGAGUAUGAUGUUGCAUGACAUUUGCUUAAAAGGUGCACUUGCAUCACUACCAGAUGGACCUGCGUUGUAUUAGCUAGUUGGUGAGGUAACGGCUCACCAAGGCGACGAUACAUAGCCGACCUGAGAGGGUGAUCGGCCACACUGGGAUUGAGACACGGCCCAGACUCCUACGGGAGGCAGCAGUAGGGAAUCUUCGGCAAUGGACGGAAGUCUGACCGAGCAACGCCGCGUGAGUGAAGAAGGUUUUCGGAUCGUAAAGCUCUGUUGUAAGAGAAGAACGAGUGUGAGAGUGGAAAUCUCACACUGGGGUUGAUUUACC